rnacentral:rRNA from 1 species
UACGUAGGGGGCGAGCGUUGUCCGAAGUUACUGGGCGUAAAGCGCGCGUAGGCGGCUUUCUAAGUCUGGUGUGAAAGGUUCAGGGCUCAACCCGAACAGUGCACUGGAUACUGGGGAGCUUGAGUGCGGGAGAGGAGAGUGGAAUUCCUGGUGUAGCGGUGAAAUGCGUAGAGAUCAGGAGGAACACCGGUGGCGAAGGCGGGUCUCUGGGCCGAUACUGACGCUGAGGAGCGAAAGCGUGGGGAGCGAACAGG